GAUGAACGCUGGCGGCGUGCCUAAUACAUGCAAGUCGAGCGAACGGACGAGAAGCUUGCUUCUCUGAUGUUAGCGGCGGACGGGUGAGUAACACGUGGAUAACCUACCUAUAAGACUGGGAUAACUUCGGGAAACCGGAGCUAAUACCGGAUAAUAUUUUGAACCGCAUGGUUCAAAAGUGAAAGACGGUCUUGCCGUCACUUAUAGAUGGAUCCGCGCUGCAUUAGCUAGUUGGUAAGGUAACGGCUUACCAAGGCAACGAUGCAUAGCCGACCUGAGAGGGUGAUCGGCCACACUGGAACUGAGACACGGUCCAGACUCCUACGGGAGGCAGCAGUAGGGAAUCUUCCGCAAUGGGCGAAAGCCUGACGGAGCAACGCCGCGUGAGUGAUGAAGGUCUUCGGAUCGUAAAACUCUGUUAUUAGGGAAGAACAUAUGUGUAAGUAACUGUGCACAUCUUGACGGUACCUAAUCAGAAAGCCACGGCUAACUACGUGCCAGCAGCCGCGGUAAUACGUAGGUGGCAAGCGUUAUCCGGAAUUAUUGGGCGUAAAGCGCGCGUAGGCGGUUUUUUAAGUCUGAUGUGAAAGCCCACGGCUCAACCGUGGAGGGUCAUUGGAAACUGGAAAACUUGAGUGCAGAAGAGGAAAGUGGAAUUCCAUGUGUAGCGGUGAAAUGCGCAGAGAUAUGGAGGAACACCAGUGGCGAAGGCGACUUUCUGGUCUAUAACUGACGCUGAUGUGCGAAAGCGUGGGGAUCAAACAGGAUUAGAUACCCUGGUAGUCCACGCCGUAAACGAUGAGUGCUAAGUGUUAGGGGGUUUCCGCCCCUUAGUGCUGCAGCUAACGCAUUAAGCACUCCGCCUGGGGAGUACGACCGCAAGGUUGAAACUCAAAGGAAUUGACGGGGACCCGCACAAGCGGUGGAGCAUGUGGUUUAAUUCGAAGCAACGCGAAGAACCUUACCAAAUCUUGACAUCCUUUGACAACUCUAGAGAUAGAGCCUUCCCCUUCGGGGGACAAAGUGACAGGUGGUGCAUGGUUGUCGUCAGCUCGUGUCGUGAGAUGUUGGGUUAAGUCCCGCAACGAGCGCAACCCUUAAGCUUAGUUGCCAUCAUUAAGUUGGGCACUCUAAGUUGACUGCCGGUGACAAACCGGAGGAAGGUGGGGAUGACGUCAAAUCAUCAUGCCCCUUAUGAUUUGGGCUACACACGUGCUACAAUGGACAAUACAAAGGGCAGCGAAACCGCGAGGUCAAGCAAAUCCCAUAAAGUUGUUCUCAGUUCGGAUUGUAGUCUGCAACUCGACUACAUGAAGCUGGAAUCGCUAGUAAUCGUAGAUCAGCAUGCUACGGUGAAUACGUUCCCGGGUCU
rnacentral:rRNA from 1 species